rnacentral:rRNA from 1 species
AUUGAACGCUGGCGGCAUGCCUUACACAUGCAAGUCGAACGGCAGCAUAGGAGCUUGCUCCUGAUGGCGAGUGGCGAACGGGUGAGUAAUAUAUCGGAACGUGCCCUAGAGUGGGGGAUAACUAGUCGAAAGACUAGCUAAUACCGCAUACGAUCUACGGAUGAAAGUGGGGGAUCGCAAGACCUCAUGCUCCUGGAGCGGCCGAUAUCUGAUUAGCUAGUUGGUGGGGUAAAAGCUCACCAAGGCGACGAUCAGUAGCUGGUCUGAGAGGACGACCAGCGAAGCGGGGACUGGGACAGGGCACAGACUCCUACGGGAGGCAGCGGUGGGGAAUUGUGGACAAUGGGGGCAACCCUGAUCCAGCAAUACCGAGUGAGUGAAGAAGGCCUUCGGUUUGUAAAGCUCUUUUGUCAGAGAAGAAACGGUUCUGGAUAAUACCUGGAGCUAAUGACGGUACCUGAAGAAUAAGCACCGGCUAACUACAUGCCAGCCGCCGCAGUAA